rnacentral:lncRNA from 1 species
GAACACGCAUCGCAGAGGUGUCUCGGAGAGUUUUCACUUUCCAGGAUGAAUACCACCACUGCCACAUGCUCUGCGACGGCGCGCGAAGUCAAAACCAGCUCUACGUGAAACGCAAUCCAACAACAUCGACAGGAAAAAUAGACUAAUCGAACGCGGCGCAGGGAGUGUAUCAAUUUGGGAGAGAUCUUGCGCAUCCUACCAAGAGUCAUCAGCAAGUCGGCAAAACACCCAAACGUAUCUCAGAUUAGCAUGAGGCGGCGGGUUCCGGCAGUCACGGCCAGCAGCCUUCAGAGGUUCGUACUCCUGGAGGGAAAGUCCUCAGGUGUCCAAAAAGGCAAAGACCCUUAUCUGGCAGACAGAUGACAGAUUCCAAUACUGUCCAUAAAACAAAAAAGUAAAGGUCUGCGUGGACAAGUCAGUGGCAUAUGCUGACGAGAGACGCCGUCGAGGUAGACCGAGGCCUCCGGCGAACUGGGCCACUCUCAACAGCAGGCACUUCAAGAAACGCCGUGCGCCCUGUCUAUGCCCUCCUCAGACACCCCGCGCGUGAGAUUGACGGAACAUGGGGGAAGCGGGCUGCCGCCUCCUCUACAGGCAGAGGGGCGCUGCGUCCUCCGCCCUAUAAGAUUAG